rnacentral:rRNA from 1 species
GGGCUUAAGUGUGCGUAGGCGGGUCUUUAAGUCAGGGGUGAAUCCUGGAGCUCAACUCCAGAACUGCCUUUGAUACUGAAGAUCUUGAGUUCGGGAGAGGUGAGUGGAACUGCGAGUGUAGAGGUGAAAUUCGUAGAUAUUCGCAAGAACACCAGUGGCGAAGGCGGCUCACUGGCCCCGAUACUGACGCUGAGGCACGAAAGCGUGGGGAGCAAAACAGGAUUAGAUACCCCUGGUAGUCCACGCCGUAAACGAUGAAUGCCAGCCGUUAGUGGGUUUACUCACUAGUGGCGCAGCUAACGCUUUAAGCAUUCCGCCUGGGGAGUACGGUCGCAAGAUUAAAACU